CCCUAGUUACGGCGAGUGAAGCGGCAACAGCUCAUAUGUGAAGCUGGCGUUCGGGUCCGGUAAUGUUUGUUUAGGAUGCUUUGGGUGUAACGCCUUUCUCCCUUCCUUGGAACAGGACGUCAUAUAGGGUGAGAAUCCCGUAUGUGACUGGAAAUGUUAACCUAUGUAAAGCUCCUUCGACGAGUCGAGUUGUUUGGGAAUGCAGCUCUAAAGGGAGGUAAAUUUCUUCUAAAGCUAAAUAUUGGCGAGAGACCGAUAGCGCACAAGUAGAGUGAUCGAAAGAUGAAAAGAACUUUGGAAAGAGAGUUAAAAAGCACGUGAAAUUGUUGAAAGGGAAGCGCUUGCAAUCAGACUUGUUUAAACUGUUCGGCCGGUCUUCUGACUGGUUUACUCAUGUUUGGACAGGCCAGCAUCAUUUUCGGCGGCCGGAUAAAGGCUCUGGUAAUGCGCCCUUUUUUUCGGUGAGGGUGUUAUAGCCCCCCGGCGUCUUACGGCCAGCCGGGACUGAGGUCCGCGCUUCGGCUAGGAUGCUGGCGUACUGGUUGUAAGCGACCGCGA
rnacentral:rRNA from 1 species